UCGAACGCGUUGGCCCAAUUGAUUGAUGGUGCUUGCACCUGAUUGAUUUUGGUCGCCAACGAGUGGCGGACGGGUGAGUAACACGUAGGUAACCUGCCCAGAAGCGGGGGACAACAUUUGGAAACAGAUGCUAAUACCGCAUAACANCGUUGUUCGCAUGAACAACGCUUAAAAGAUGGCUUCUCGCUAUCACUUCUGGAUGGACCUGCGGUGCAUUAGCUUGUUGGUGGGGUAACGGCCUACCAAGGCGAUGAUGCAUAGCCGAGUUGAGAGACUGAUCGGCCACAAUGGGACUGAGACACGGCCCAUACUCCUACGGGAGGCAGCAGUAGGGAAUCUUCCACAAUGGGCGCAAGCCUGAUGGAGCAACACCGCGUGAGUGAAGAAGGGUUUCGGCUCGUAAAGCUCUGUUGUUAAAGAAGAACACGUAUGAGAGUAACUGUUCAUACGUUGACGGUAUUUAACCAGAAAGUCACGGCUAACUACGUGCCAGCAGCCGCGGUAAUACGUAGGUGGCAAGCGUUAUCCGGAUUUAUUGGGCGUAAAGAGAGUGCAGGCGGUUUUCUAAGUCUGAUGUGAAAGCCUUCGGCUUAACCGGAGAAGUGCAUCGGAAACUGGAUAACUUGAGUGCAGAAGAGGGUAGUGGAACUCCAUGUGUAGCGGUGGAAUGCGUAGAUAUAUGGAAGAACACCAGUGGCGAAGGCGGCUACCUGGUCUGCAACUGACGCUGAGACUCGAAAGCAUGGGUAGCGAACAGGAUUAGAUACCCUGGUAGUCCAUGCCGUAAACGAUGAGUGCUAGGUGUUGGAGGGUUUCCGCCCUUCAGUGCCGGAGCUAACGCAUUAAGCACUCCGCCUGGGGAGUACGACCGCAAGGUUGAAACUCAAAGGAAUUGACGGGGGCCCGCACAAGCGGUGGAGCAUGUGGUUUAAUUCGAAGCUACGCGAAGAACCUUACCAGGUCUUGACAUCUUGCGCCAACCCUAGAGAUAGGGCGUUUCCUUCGGGAACGCAAUGACAGGUGGUGCAUGGUCGUCGUCAGCUCGUGUCGUGAGAUGUUGGGUUAAGUCCCGCAACGAGCGCAACCCUUGUUACUAGUUGCCAGCAUUAAGUUGGGCACUCUAGUGAGACUGCCGGUGACAAACCGGAGGAAGGUGGGGACGACGUCAGAUCAUCAUGCCCCUUAUGACCUGGGCUACACACGUGCUACAAUGGACGGUACAACGAGUCGCGAACUCGCGAGGGCAAGCAAAUCUCUUAAAACCGUUCUCAGUUCGGACUGCAGGCUGCAACUCGCCUGCACGAAGUCGGAAUCGCUAGUAAUCGCGGAUCAGCAUGCCGCGGUGAAUACGUUCCCGGGCCUUGUACACACCGCCCGUCACACCAUGAGAGUUUGUAACACCCAAAGUCGGUGGGGUAACCUUUUAGGAGCCAGCCGCCUAAGG
rnacentral:rRNA from 1 species